GAAAAUGAAGAGGCAUGGAGGAAAGGCGGGCGAGCGGGAAGGGCUUGGGCGUCGCCCAUGACGCCGAGCUUGACAGCGGCCUUGCGGUGGCGCAGCCGGCGAGGACUUGUCGGAUCUGGCCGGAAGGCGACCGGGGCGUGGAGUACGAGAGAUGGAGAGAAAAGAGAGGGCGGGAAGGGAGAGAGAAGCGGGCGGUGGUCACUUCAAUUGGCUGCAGCGCGGCGCCGCCCCGGCCGCUGAGCCUGCCCGACCGCCCCGUCGCCAAGUCGCCACCCCACUGACUCCUCCGGGCUCGCCCUUUAGACCAAUUCAAAGCCAGCGAUUGUUGCCCACAUCACCGAACCUGGCUCCCCUUCUCCACCCCAGCAAGCACGCACGCUUGAAGGCGCCCAGGAGCUCGCCGGCAACACUCAGCAGACGUAGGAGAGCUGCGUGCCUGGUGCGUGUGAAUGCAUCGACGCGAGGCAGUCGAGGCCUCAGCAAGUUAACACAUUAGGGAAGACUAAUGGAAGGAUCAUCAGAACAACGUAGUCAAAUUGGCUGCUUCAAAUUUUCCGUCUUGGGGCUAAUCAGCAGCACGCGGACAUGCAUCAGGAAGCCGACGGACAGCCAUAGCAGGAAGGCGUGGAUAUUGAGCUGCAGCGACAACGACAACUUGGGCAUUACCUGCAAAGAUACAACAGUUCAAGGGUUCAACCAAGUGUAAGUUUGCAUUCAGUCAAUUAUUGCUGUUCUACACUGAAACAUUCAGAUUGUUGCAUCAAAAGUUAGAUAGGAACAGGGAAAGAAUCUCCAACGCUUAUUUACAUGGGAAAGAACACUCUUUAACUUUGGUUCAGAUCAUCAGUCUAGACAUUCAAAAAAGAUCAUCAGUCUAUCUGAAGCAAAAGGAUCACACAAUCUGACAGUACAAGGAGCAGUCUUUUUCUUCACAUCUUUGUUUUAGCAUGCAUCCGGUAGUUAUGUGCUCUAGGAUUAGGCAACCAAAACUGAACUUAUGACUACAUGAGUGCAUGAAAAACUGUUAAUAUCUCUUAUUUGACUAAUCUUUGGAUCGGCUGGAGACGAGAAUCUCUAGCUUUGGGGAUGGUCCUUUGGGGUUCUAUCAGGGUUAUAUUCAUGUGCACUAGGUACUUCUCAACACUUCCUUAGUUAUUCUAGAACCUCUUUAAAUUUGCAAUGCUCAUCAGAUUGUACAGGUUUUGCAGUCAACUAUUCAGACUAUUGACUAGGGACGAUAUUUUCAGUCAUACUGAGUCUGCAAAGGAUGCACCAAGCCAAGAUUAAUUAUGGUGGUAAAUUGCAUCUGUUUAGUUAUGUACCUGCUCCUUAGAUGAUUGUGAAUUUGUGAUUCAGUCGUGGAAAUUUCGGUGCUUUCUUCGAGUGUCCUGAAAAAUGGUUCAAUGUGUGUUUGCCAGAAACGGUAGAUUAGCAAGACUAACUUGUGUUGAGCAUGUCAGUCUAUGUGUGGGCACGAGUGACAAUGUAAAUUAUGGUAGAGACGAUUUUCUUGAAAAAAGUCCUGGAGACGCGCUGCUGCUGCUGCUGCUCUUGAUAGCCAAAGUGGAGACUGCAGUUCUAAGACUUCAAGGAGGAAAUGAAUACAUGGUUGCUACUUGGAGAGGUCAGUUGUUUCCCUGCAGAACAGUAAAUCUCUUAUAGUUGUUUAACUGGACCUGUUCCACUCUCAUUGUUAUGUUGAGAUAAAAAUUGUUAUUGGUCACUCAAUGCCCAAGCUGUUGUUGAUUAAUUUGACUUGAAUUGGAUUGUACUCCAAGAAUCCACAAGAUGUCAUUUCCGAGUGUGGUACUAAUUUCGGCACAUAGCACCGAUUUCUAAAAAUAAGGCUGGGCAACAUGAGCCAACCACAGGGGAGGAUGUUUCAAGAGAAUAAACUCACUGUAGUUGCCGAAUUGGUAUUAGUAAGUUGCUGUUUCAACUUCCUAGAAAACAACAGGGGGUGUAUUUUUUUUUUUACUAUUAUUAGUUGCAGCACAUGGAGACAAUGAUGAGGACUUGUAUUUUUAAG